GAUGAACGCUGGCGGCGUGCCUAAUACAUGCAAGUCGAGCGAACAGAUGAGGAGCUUGCUCCUCUGACGUUAGCGGCGGACGGGUGAGUAACACGUGGAUAACCUACCUAUAAGACUGGGAUAACUUCGGGAAACCGGAGCUAAUACCGGAUAAUAUAUUGAACCGCAUGGUUCAAUAGUGAAAGACGGUUUUGCUGUCACUUAUAGAUGGAUCCGCGCCGCAUUAGCUAGUUGGUAAGGGAACGGCUUACCAAGGCAACGAUGCUUAGCCGACCUGAGAGGGUGAUCGGCCACACUGGAACUGAGACACGGUCCAGACUCCUACGGGAGGCAGCAGUAGGGAAUCUUCCACAAUGGGCGAAAGCCUGACGGAGCAACGCCGCGUGAGUGAUGAAGGUCUUCGGAUCGUAAAACUCUGUUAUUAGGGAAGAACAAAUGUGUAAGUAACUAUGCACGUCUUGACGGUACCUAAUCAGAAAGCCACGGCUAACUACGUG
rnacentral:rRNA from 1 species